GCGACGGCUCAUUAUAACAGCUAUAAUGUACUUGAUGUUGAUUAUCCAACGUGGAUAACUGUGGCAAUUCUAGAGCUAAUACAUGCACCAAAGCUCCGACUUAUGGACGAGCGCAUCUAUUAGAUUAAAACCAAUCGGGUUAUUGAUUUAGCCCGUAAAUUGGUGACUCUGAAUAGCUAUGGCUGAUCGCAUGGUCUUGUACCGGCGACAUAUCUAUCAAGUGUCUGCCUUAUCAACUUUCGAUGGUAGUUUAUGUGCCUACCAUGGUUGUAACGGGUAACGGAGAAUAAGGGUUCGACUCCGGAGAGGGAGCCUGAGAAACGGCUACCACAUCCAAGGAAGGCAGCAGGCGCGCAAAUUACCCACUCUCAGAAUGAGGAGGUAGUGACGAAAAAUAACGAGACCGUUCUCUUUGAGGCCGGUUAUCGGAAUGGGUACAAUUUAAACCUGUUAACGAGGAUCUAUGAGAGGGCAAGUCUGGUGCCAGCAGCCGCGGUAAUUCCAGCUCUCAAAGUGUAUAUCGUCAUUGCUGCGGUUAAAAAGCUCGUAGUUGGAUCUGCGUCUCA
rnacentral:rRNA from 1 species